rnacentral:rRNA from 1 species
AACGAACGCUGGCGGCAGGCUUAACACAUGCAAGUCGAGCGCCCCGCAAGGGGAGCGGCAGCCGGGUGAGUAACGCGUGGGAACGUACCUUUUGGUUCGGAACAACUCCGGGAAACUGGAGCUAAUACCGGAUAAGCCCUAACGGGGAAAGAUUUAUCGCCGAAAGAUCGGCCCGCGUCUGAUUAGCUAGUUGGUGAGGUAACGGCUCACCAAGGCGACGAUCAGUAGCUGGUCUGAGAGGAUGAUCAGCCACACUGGGACUGAGACACGGCCCAGACUCCUACGGGAGGCAGCAGUGAGGAAUAUUGGACAAUGGGCGCAAGCCUGAUCCAGCCAUGCCGCGUGAGUGAUGAAGGCCUUAGGGUUGUAAAGCUCUUUUGUCCGGGAAGAUAAUGACUGUACCGGAAGAAUAAGCCCCGGCUAACUUCGUG